rnacentral:rRNA from 1 species
GACGUAGGGCGCGAGCGUUGUCCGGAUUUAUUGGGCGUAAAGAGCUCGUAGGCGGCUUGUUGCGUCGGCUGUGAAAACCCAUGGCUCAACCGUGGGCUUGCAGCCGAUACGGGCAGGCUAGAGUUCGGUAGGGGAGACUGGAAUUCCUGGUGUAGCGGUGAAAUGCGCAGAUAUCAGGAGGAACACCAAUAGCGAAGGCAGCUCGCUGGGACGGUACUGACGCUAAGGCGCGAAAGCGUGGGGAGCGAACAGG